GCCGAGGUAGCUCAGUUGGUAGAGCACUGCGCUGAAAACGCAGGUGUCCCCAGUUCGAUUCUGGGCCUCAGCACCA
rnacentral:tRNA from 1 species